rnacentral:rRNA from 1 species
AACGAACGCUGGCGGCAGGCCUAACACAUGCAAGUCGAGCGCCCCGCAAGGGGAGCGGCGGACGGGUGAGUAACGCGUGGGAAUAUGCCCUUUGCUACGGAAUAGUCUCGGGAAACUGGGGGUAAUACCGUAUACGCCCUUUGGGGGAAAGAUUUAUCGGCGAAGGAUUAGCCCGCGUUGGAUUAGGUAGUUGGUGGGGUAAUGGCCUACCAAGCCGACGAUCCAUAGCUGGUUUGAGAGGAUGAGCAGCCACACUGGGACUGAGACACGGCCCAGACUCCUACGGGAGGCAGCAGUGGGGAAUCUUAGACAAUGGGGGCAACCCUGAUCUAGCCAUGCCGCGUGAGUGAUGAAGGCCUUAGGGUUGUAAAGCUCUUUCAGCUGGGAAGAUAAUGACGGUACCAGCAGAAGAAGCCCCGGCUAACUCCGUG